AAACUCGCCUCUUGCAUAACACUAGUAUAAGAGGUCCCGCCUGCCCAGUGACUAUUAGUUCAACGGCCGCGGUAUUUUGACCGUGCAAAGGUAGCGUAAUCACUUGUCUUUUAAAUGAAGACCCGUAUGAAUGGCAUAACGAGGGCUUAACUGUCUCCUUUUCCAAGUCAAUGAAAUUGAUCUCCCCGUGCAGAAGCGGGGAUUAACACAUAAGACGAGAAGACCCUAUGGAGCUUUAGACGUAUGGGUAGAUCAUGUUAAACACCCCUUAAUAAAGGCCUAAACUAAAUGAAACCUGCCCCCAUGUCUUUGGUUGGGGCGACCAUGGGGAAUACAAAACCCCCACGUGGAACGGGAGUACACCCCCUAUUUCUUCCUCUCCCACAAGCCAGAGCGACAGCUCUAGCCAGCAGAAUUUUUGACCAAACUGAUCCGGUAAGCCGAUCAACGAACCGAGUUACCCUAGGGAUAACAGCGCAAUCCCCUUUUAGAGUCCAUAUCGACAAGGGGGUUUACGACCUCGAUGUUGGAUCAGGACAUCCUAAUGGUGCAGCCGCUAUUAAGGGUUCGUUUGUUCAACGAUUAAAGUCCUACGUGAUC
rnacentral:rRNA from 1 species